rnacentral:rRNA from 1 species
UACGGGGGGCGCAAGCGUUGUUCGGAAUCACUGGGCGUAAAGCGCGUGCAGGCGGCUUGGCAAGUCGGGUGUGAAAGCCCGGGGCCCAACCCCGGAACUGCAUCCGAAACUGCCUCGCUCGAGUCCCGGAUAGGGUGGCGGAAUUUCCGGUGUAGAGGUGAAAUUCGUAGAUAUCGGAAGGAACACCAGUGGCGAAGGCGGCAACCUGGACGGUGACUGACGCUGAGUCGCGAAAUCGUGGGUAGCAAACAGG